GUUAACCUCAAUCAUUUCAAAUAUUUCUAUAACGUGUGAUCAAACGUUCAGUUUCUUAAAUAUUUUUCAUCAAACACUCUCAUCUUUGUGAACAAAUACAUUUUAUCAUUUCUAUUCGAUGUACGCUCCGUUUGACAAUAAAAGUUUGUAUAUGGAGGAUUCUAACCUAUCACGAAACUUCCUGUACGCAUGUCAGAGUGGAGACUUAUCAAGAGUGGAAAAACUCGUAUCGAAACACGACAUUCAGGAUUGGACACACUUCAGACACACGACUUCCGGUGACACUGCGUUACAUCUUGCCACCCGCGAGGGUCAUUUGAAUAUCGUUCGAUACCUAUGCGAGAAUUUCAAGGGACCAGAUUUUAGAGUGAACGUCGCCAGUAGAGAUACGAAAAGACCGCUGCACGAAGCGGCGCAAUUUGCUCGUAGCGAUAUACUCAAAUAUUUAAUUGGAAAAGGUGCAGAUGUGGAUGCCUUAAAACGCGCUGAUUGGACACCGCUCAUGCUGGCGUGUACAAAAACCGGAAGUGAUGCCUAUAAAUGCAUCGUAGCGCUUUUAGAGGCAAAAGCAAAUCCGUUUUUGCGAAAUAAAGAUGGAUGGACGUCGUUGCAUCUAGUUUGUAGAUCUGGCGAUGAAAAUGCUUUUGAUUUGUUAGUAAAUAAAUUUGUCGAACGCAUCGAUGAUCGAAGCAAUAAUGGUCGUAGUGUUAUGCACAUUGCUGUGUACCUAUAUACAUUCUCCAGGAUCAUCGUCGAAUUCGAAACCACGAAAAUAUUUUCUUUCCAGGAUCAUAUACUUUAAACGACGAAAGACGCCAUCGUCUCUCAAUUUUCUUGUAUCUUUCUCGAAUUUUCUUUCGUUGAUCGACUUGGAGGUUUCGAAAACGAAGUGAUCGCGAUGACACAGAGAACGAAAAGGGAGGGAAAAGGGGGGAACGCAAGCUCUCGUCCGACGAAUAUGUUCCACCGGAAACGGGUUUCCCCACACCUCCAUGCGAUUUCGAAGCGUCGGGUCUGGUCGAACCACGAGGUGUCCUCUAAGUGUGCAAAAUGUGUUUUUCUAGGUGCUUGUCAAGUAAGGAUCGAAGAAACGUAACGAAAAAGAAUGGAAGAGACGCGUUGAAAAACUAAAAACAUAAAAAGAGAAUGAACGUAAAAAGAAAAAUAAAAACCAUGGCACACCAUGCAGUCAAUUAGAGAAACAAUGGCAGAAGAACAUAGUGAGAGAAAGGAAAAAGUUCGAUCGAAACAAUACACGACACGAGCGAGCGAGCGAGCGAGCGAGUGAGCGAGCCUUUUUCUUAGCUGCGGCGGCGGUCAGGUUGUUGUGAUUGUUCGGCGGUGACGUGGUCGUUGUUGUACCCACAUUGGAGGCGGCGUGCGGCGACAAUCCGGAGCUAUCGGUCGUCGGCGCCGACGGAUUCGACGAGGUGUUGU